GUGUCAGCAGCCGCGGUAAUACGUAGGGCGCAAGCGUUGUCCGGAAUUAUUGGGCGUAAAGAGCUCGUAGGCGGCCUGUCACGUCUGCUGUGAAAUCCCGGGGCUUAACCCCGGGCGUGCAGUGGAUACGGGCUGGCUGGAGGCAGGCAGGGGAGAACGGAAUUCCCGGUGUAGCGGUGAAAUGCGCAGAUAUCGGGAGGAACACCGGUGGCGAAGGCGGUUCUCUGGGCCUGUACUGACGCUGAGGAGCGAAAGCGUGGGGAGCGAACAGGAUUAGAAACCCGCGUAGUCC
rnacentral:rRNA from 1 species